rnacentral:rRNA from 1 species
CGGCGGACGGGUGAGUAACGCGUGGGUAACCUACCCCAUACAGGGGGAUAACAGUUGGAAACGGCUGCUAAUACCGCAUAAGCGCACAGUACCGCAUGGUACCGUGUGAAAAACUCCGGUGGUAUGAGAUGGACCCGCGUCUGAUUAGCUAGUUGGUGGGGUAACGGCCUACCAAGGCGACGAUCAGUAGCCGACCUGAGAGGGUGACCGGCCACAUUGGGACUGAGACACGGCCCAA